CCCUUAGAUGUUCUGGGCCGCACACGCGCUACACUGAAGGAGGCAGCGUGUACUCCUGGAUCGAAAGAUUUGGGUAACCCGCGAAUCUCCUUCGUGCUAGGGAUUGAGGUUUGCAAUUAUCCUUCAUGAACGAGGAAUUCCCAGUAAGUGCAAGUCAUAAGCUUGCGCUGACUACGUCCCUGCCCUUUGUACACACCGCCCGUCGCACCUACCGAUUGGAUGGUCCGGUGAGGCCUCGGGAUUGUGGCCGGUGCAUUUAUUUGUGUCGGUUGCGAGAACUUGUCCAAACCUUAUCAUCUAGAGGAAGGUGAANUCGUAACA
rnacentral:rRNA from 1 species